rnacentral:lncRNA from 1 species
UACUUGUACCUUGUUUUCCUGCAAGACUCUCGUUGCUUGUUCAUCAUAGGCUCGUAUACCUGUGUUGAAUGCUGUGUCAAUGUGUAGUUGAGGAAAGUGGCAGAAAAGUGACCUGUAGGUAAAAAUAAAUAAAUAAAUAAAUUAUUUGUGCUUCUUGGACAUCCUACGCUAAAAUAGGUAGGAUCUUCCAUUGUAGACAUCCAAUCACACCAAAUUUUUGCUUAGUAGCCGAUGGUUAUAUAAAUCUUGCAAAUUCUUUUAUUGGCUCAUAUUGGUUUGCCAUGUUACUAAUUUUGUGGUGCUGUUUCAGGCCCAUGCCAGUUUCCUGAAGAUAUCCUUAUACAUGUCUUCAGUUACUUAGAUUUGCAGUCUUUAGUUUCAGCUGCAAUGGUCUGCAGGUACUUUCCCUUUAGGCCGUAACAUUUUCUUUGUGACCAAGAACUUAGGUUCACAUAUUUGGUAUUUGAUGUUACACAUGAUUUCAGUUAUGAUCCAUCAUUUGACAGUUACUCCGCGGUAUGGUCAAUUUGCAGGUCAUGGAGUUCUGCAGCAGGUGACAACCAUCUAUGGGAGUCACUGUAUGUCAACUUCUUUGGUGGUUCUGAUAAAUACACUGAUACAGUAACUGGAAGUGACAUCUGUAUCAGAGAAAACUUCAAGAGAGUGUAUCAAGGUAGGUCUGAACUUUUUGUAAAAAGGAGAACGAUGUUCUGGCUCAUGUUUUGUUUGACAAGAAGAGAAUUUUAAGGUGCUUGAAAGUAAUUGAAAUCCUAGUUAGGCUUGAAGUAUUUUAUCUCUAAUGUCCUCUGGUGAAUUAUGAUCUGUGUUAUUUGGUUCCAACAAUUAUUGGCAUUGCUCACAAUCACAAUGAAUAUACUCUUUCAUGAGUUCCAAGGUGUUGUACGAGCCUGUUCCAGCAGUCCCCCCACAUACGGGUGUGCAGUGUGAUCGUGAAGGGCAUGUUUUACAGCACUGUUUUUGUUUCCCAGUUGGUUUUCCUAUAUGCAUUUUCUCUUUAGAAGUCACAACCAUGUUUUUCAUUUCAGAAGUAUCGUCGAAGAAAGUUGCACCAUACAGGGGCUACUGUUGGCACUGUAGUUCAAUAGUGUGGCUCACCGACACUAGAUGUUAUAAUACACAUAUUGGACGAGAUUGCACAAAUCCCAAAGUUAUUCCAGUUUCAAUGGCUCAGGUAAUUAUAGAUGCCUAAGUUUGCUCCGUGUUGUUUGACUGUCACCCACCAUAGCAUGUUGUAAAACUUAAGGGCCCCUAUGGAUUGGGUGUUUUUGGAGCUUCGAAGCUUUACUGUAGAUCUACAUUGUGAAAAACUUUAUUUAUGUGAUAUGUUUUGGGGGUGUUUUUAAAGUUUCAAAAUUUUUGGGGAAUUUUUAAAAUUUAGUUUUCCCCUCCCACUGUGUCAACCCUCCCUACCGGCUACCAGCCCUCUCCUCCAAUCUAGAGAACGGGUGAAGAUGCGUGCAUGUUAGUGUGUGUUUUGCGCUUUUUUGGGGUUAUUUUUGGGCAUGUUUGUUAGGUGUAUUAGGGUUGUUUUUGGUGCAUUUAUUAGGUAUUUUUAGAGAUGAUACCGUAGAAAAAUUAGUUUUUCCCAAAAAAGGUUAUGAUUCUAUGCGAUAACUCUAUUUGUUUAUGAGCAUUACUAAAUGUCAUUACCCUCCGAUGUACAAGAUAUUUUGCUUAAGUUGGAGAGGUUUUGUAAAAUGCAGAUUGUUGACUACGUAUUGUACGAUUCUCUUCCAUCAGAAUCUUCUUCAGACAGUAGUGAUGGUGAUAUAGAUGACCUGUGUGUUCUUAAGAUGUGGGCGUAUGCCAAGUAAAUCGGCCAACCUCUUCUGUGGCAUGGCAGUACAGACAUAAUAGAAGGUGAAUGUAUAUUUUUUGACAACAGAAUGGUGAAUAAUUAAAUUCUGAAUCCCAUUCGUACCUUCACACUAGGACCUUCGUUGCUAUAUUGGUUCUGUAAAUGGAACAUUAUCAGAUUGUGGUGCAUCUGAUUAGUAAUGCAUGACCUCUCAGUUCCUUCA